rnacentral:lncRNA from 1 species
AAAAAAUGAGUUUGAGAGAUGAACACAUUAAUAACAACCAACAUCAAGGAAUAAAACAAGUCUAAGCCUAAGGUUUAAAGCACCUAAAUAAAUAACUUUAACUACAAAAUUAUAAUAGAUAUGUCCAUAAGAUACCAUGACCAUGAUUUCCAUCAAUUUUGACAUGUAAUGCUAAUGAAGUUUUAAUUAUUCUUUUGGUCCCUAUUGUUGCAACAGUUCCCCUUUUAGCCCUUAUAACCUAAAACAUCUAAUUUUGGUCCCUGUAUUUGCAUCUAUUUACCCUUUCGUCCUCCUUGCCAAGUGUUGGCUAACAUUGUUUGAAAUGAAUGAGAUGUGGUUCAUUUAAUCAACAUUAAUCUGAAAUGUCGUUGUAUGACUUUAGAGAACAAUGACCCAAAGGGUAAAAACAUGGCAAUUAUAGGAACCAGAAGAGAAUGUUUUAAACUAUAGCAACUAAAAUGGAAAGUUGUUGCAAUUGUAGGUACCAAAUGGUAAUUAAACCUUAUCGGGUGCAUUGUAAAAGGACUUUUUUUUUUAUCCAAAGGGAUGGCAAUGGCGCGGGACAAGUGCGGGUUUUACUAUCUCAUCCCAUCCUUGAAGUAAACAUUCAUCCCCAUUCCCAUCCUUAUAUCCAACAAUUAUGAAUUUUUUGUCUCAUCCCCAUGCCCAUCAAGGAACAUGUGUAUACUUGUACCCAACCCAUACUUGCCCCUUUGCUAUUUCACAUUAGUGUUAUCAAUAUUUGAUUUGAUAAUGGAAAAUAUCAAUCCUUUAUGAAGUUAUAACAAAAACCAUAACGGGUUAUGGCAGAAGCAUUGCGUCAAAAGAAAUUCAAUAUAUAAAUACACCACAAAUUUCAAACUUAAAAUAGCAACAAAACAUUUCCAACUAAGCUGCUCCACACCUCAUCUCAUCUAAUUUCUUGAUUUUCCACUGUCACCACAGCCUCAUCAAACCUCGUGCAACAACCACACAACCUCAUUAGAUCUUGUGUUGCCGUUGCAAGCCUCCUUCUCUCCGUCUUUUAUGCCAUCUUUGUUCACUGCUAGUAUCUCAUGAUGCAAAAAGUGGCUGCCAUGACAAACUCGCAUUGCCAUUGCCAUGUUGUGGCAUUGAUUAGAAAUUCCUCUGUCAGUUUUCACCAUAAUUGGUUUUGAAUAACAUUGUUUCACAUUAUUAAGAAAACCUCUAAUGUCUAGUCGACAUGAGAUAUCCAACACACCCUUCUCACGUUGAAAC